GACGGAGGGUGCUAGCGUUGUUCGGAAUUACUGGGCGUAAAGGGCGCGUAGGCGGCCUGGGAAGUCGGCUUGUGAAAGCCCGGGGCUCAACCCCGGAGGUGCGGCCGAUACUCUCUGGCUGGAGGCCGGAAGAGGAGGGUGGAAUACCCAGUGUAGAGGUGAAAUUCGUAGAUAUUGGGUGGAACACCGGUGGCGAAAGCGGCUCUCGGGUCCGGACUUGACGCUGAGGCGCGAAAGCGUGGGGAGCAAACAGG
rnacentral:rRNA from 1 species